CGCAUCUGUGCAUGCAGCAUAUCAAUAAGCGGAGGAAAAGAAACUAACAAGGAUUCCCUUAGUAACGGCGAGUGAAGCGGGAAGAGCUCAAAUUUGAAAUCUUCAAGGUUUUACCUUGACGAAUUGUAGUUUAAAGAAGUGUUUUCUGUUGAAGUUUUGGUAAAAGUUCUUUGGAAUAGGACAUCAUAGAGGGUGAGAAUCCCGUAUUUGACCAUUAUUUUCAGCUGUGUGAUACAGCUUUCAAAGAGUCGGAUUGUUUGGGAAUGCAGUCCAAAAUGGGUGGUAAAUUUCAUCUAAAGCUAAAUAUUGGCGAGAGACCGAUAGCGAACAAGUAUCGUGAGGGAAAGAUGAAAAGAACUUUGAAAGGAGAGUUAAACAGUACGUGAAAUUGUCAAAAGGGAAGCGUUUGACACCAGUGUUGUUUUCUCGAAAAUCAAUUAAAAAGAGUUUGAUUUUGUUGUGUAUUGACCUUAACAGCUUGCAUUUCAAUUUUCUUGCUUUUUUUAAUGCACUUUUCGUUUAACAAGUCAACAUCAGUUUCUUUUGUUGUAAAAAGGUCAUUGGAAGGUGGCUUUCUUUUCGGAGAAAGUGUUUAUAGCCUUUGACUCCUGCAAUCGGAGAGACUGAGGUCUGCAGCGUAGAUCCUUCGGGGUUAGAUACAUUUGUGCUAAGUUAUAGCUUUUUAUAGACAACUUGUUGACUAUGAUUAGUCUUGUAGCUUACUCGCUUAUGCUAUUUUACCUACGCUUAGGAUGUUGACACACGCGCGUGCUCGACUCUAUACAUGACUCUGUGCAUAUCAAUAAGCGGAGGAAAAGCAUAACAUGUAUACCUACGCUUAGGAUGUUGACACACGCGCGUGCUCGACUCUAUACAUGACUCUGCUGCAUAUCAAUAAGCGGAGGAAAAGUCUGCGGACUGACCUCUACCUACGCUUAGGAUGUUGACACACGCGCGUGCUC
rnacentral:rRNA from 1 species